UUUGGGCGCGUCUCCCUUCUCGGGAGACUCUCUCAACCCCACGAACCCUUGACCUCAAAUCGGGUGAGACUACCCGCUGAACUUAAGCAUAUCAAUAAGCGGAGGAAAAGAAACUAACAAGGAUUCCCCUAGUAACUGCGAGUGAAGCGGGAAAAGCUCAAAUUUAAAAUCUGGCGGUCUUUGGCCGUCCGAGUUGUAAUUUAGAGAAGCGUCUU
rnacentral:rRNA from 1 species